rnacentral:rRNA from 1 species
AGCGAACGCUGGCGGAAUGCUUAACACAUGCAAGUCGCACGGGCAGCAAUGUCAGUGGCGGACGGGUGAGUAACGCGUAGGAACAUGUCCGGAGGUGGGGGACAACCCUGGGAAACUGGGGCUAAUACCGCAUAUGUCCUGAGGGGCAAAGCCGCGAGGCGCCUUUGGAGUGGCCUGCGUCCGAUUAGCUUGUUGGUGGGGUAAUGGCCUACCAAGGCGACGAUCGGUAGCUGGUCUGAGAGGACGAUCAGCCACACUGGGACUGAGACACGGCCCAGACUCCUACGGGAGGCAGCAGUGGGGAAUAUUGGACAAUGGGCGCAAGCCUGAUCCAGCAAUGCCGCGUGGAUGAAGUAAGGUUUUCGGAUUGUAAAGUCCUUUCGGCGGGGACGAUGAUGACGGUACCCGCAGAAGAA